rnacentral:rRNA from 1 species
ACACAUGCAAGUCGAGCGGAAAGGCCCUUCGGGGUACUCGAGCGGCGAACGGGUGAGUAACACGUGAGCAACCUGCCCCAGGCUUUGGGAUAACCCCGGGAAACCGGGGCUAAUACCGAAUAUGACCUCCGAUCGCAUGGUUGGUGGUGGAAAGUUUUUCGGCUUGGGAUGGGCUCGCGGCCUAUCAGCUUGUUGGUGGGGUGAUGGCCUACCAAGGCGACGACGGGUAGCCGGCCUGAGAGGGCGACCGGCCACACUGGGACUGAGACACGGCCCAGACUCCUACGGGAGGCAGCAGUGGGGAAUAUUGCACAAUGGGCGGAAGCCUGAUGCAGCGACGCCGCGUGAGGGAUGACGGCCUUCGGGUUGUAAACCUCUUUCAGCAGGGACGAAGCGUAAGUGACGGUACCUGCAGAAGAAGCGCCGGCCAACUACGUGCCAGCAG